CCAAGUGUGGCACAGUAGGUAGGGCGCUCAGCAUGCGAAACACUGAGAGGUCGUUGGUUCGAUUCCAACCGCUUGGACCA
rnacentral:tRNA from 1 species